rnacentral:rRNA from 1 species
CGCGUAGGCGGCCAUGUAAGUCAGAUGUGAAAGCCCGGGGCUCAACCCCGGAAGUGCAUUUGAUACUGCAUGGCUUGAGUAUGGGAGAGGGAAGUGGAAUUCCUGGUGUAGAGGUGAAAUUCGUAGAUAUCAGGAGGAACACCGGUGGCGAAGGCGACUUCCUGGACCAAUACUGACGCUGGGGCGCGAAGGCGUGGGGAGCAAAACA